AAUUCUUGUUCAGAUACAGACCUGUAGGUAAGCAACAGAUUUCAGGGAUUUGUAAUAAAUCACACAAAAGUAAGGAACCCAGGGAAGCAAAAGGUGUAUGGUAUGCUGAAAUGUCAAGUGACAAUGAGUACGCCUUAUAGGACACAGUGACACCAUAUAAAAAGUUUUCAGAAUUGUAGAGUAUGUUAUAGACACACAUGCCAUACAUCUUGAGUUUGGGACCUCUGUGAGAGACUUUGAAGAGACAUUUGAUCAUUCAGUUUUUUACAAGCCUCUGAUUUCCUGCUAUUCCUUUCAGUUCACAUUUAUUCUAACAUCCCAAGUUCUCUCAUUAGCUCCAUACCACUAUAUUUUUCAAUAAUUAUCCACACCUCAUUUCUUUAUGAAGUAGAACUUUAUUUCACACCUUCGAGGCAUGGGGCUCUGAUGAUGACAGAAGUGGAAGCAAGCCAUUCCCUCUUUGGGACAUUCAUAGAGAUCUUGAAGGUCUUAAAACCAUUCAAACAUGAAAACCCCUACAGCCAUUGCUGAUAGAAUCCUUCCCUGGAGACAUUCAAAACCCACCUGGACAUGUUCCUGUGUGACCUCACCUAGGCAUUCCUGCUCCAGCAGGGGGAUUGAACUAGAUGAUCUUUUGAGGUCCCUUCCAGUCUCAAACAUACUGUGAUACUGUGAUACUGUGAUAAUCUAGUUUAGAGUAUUCCAAAGCUACCUUCACAGUCUUGGACAAUGAGACUUAUUAAGUACUUCAGUUUCUAGGUGGAGGGAUAAGGAAAAAACAAUCUGCAAAUGAAAAUGUAAUGUCUCUGCAAUCUUUGUCACAAUGUUUUUCACUGGUAUGUCGUGAAUGUGGUUGGUGGGUACAUGCAUUUGGGCUAACCUAUAUAGUUUUAGUGUGUCUUCUCUAUUUUCAGUUGAUGCACAUAGCUAAAUUUAGCAUAAUUAAAUCUUUUAAUAAACAGUGGUCUACAUAGACAUACAGAAAAAAAUACUUAGAUUUUUCAAAAUUAUUCCAGGACAUAUUUUACAGUUUUCUCUGACAGCUGGCUCUGUAUUUCUGGUACAGCUCAAUCACUCUUUAGUCAGAUAAAUGAAGCAUCAGAUUUUCAAAAGCACUCAGCAACUGGCAAAACUGGCAGGCAGAGAUUUAAUAUAUCCUUCCUUCUCCUUCAGAUACUGCAGGACUUGCCCUGCCACCUAUUCUUGUCCUUCCCUAUGUCUUUGUCAACACAGAUGCUACCUGACUGCUAAUCCUUGAACGUAGUGCUGAUACUUUACAGAUACCAGGAAAACCUUCCACUAUGAUGGUUCCAGCACAAGGAUGAAAGUUUUGGUCCCACACGCCUUUGGAAAUCUAGCAGAUGAUGUGGCCGUAUUCUGACAUGGGGCCUGUGAGAAACCACAAGAGGCGACAGCGUGAGAACAAGUGUUGUUGGAAAUAUACAAGAAGCAAGGACUGUAUACUAUUUGAUACAUCAAGGCCAGAGGGAUUGAUAUGGCAUUGAUACAGGAUUGAUACAUUAAGGACAGGGCAGUAACUUGUGAUAGAUCAAAAAAUGCUUUUAUAGCAGUAACUUCAGUGGGAACAUAAAAUAUAUCACUUAUGUAAUGACUAAUAUAGCAAAUCAGCAAAUGCUUGAGCAAGCAUCAUAGUAAGUAUAACUGCAAGCCUGGAUUUAUAAUAAAUGUCUCUCUUCACACCUUAAA